rnacentral:lncRNA from 1 species
CCCCGUCCGGUAUGGGCGCCAAAACACAUAAGAUCUCCAUACCCCGUCCGGUAUGGGAGACCACAAUCCCGGUAGGGUUCCUUACGGACCCGGUCCGUCCACCAUCUCCCAGGAUAUCUAGUCAGGCUGACCACAGUAUACAAUUUUUAUUUACAUAAUCUUUCAUUCUCCUUUUCCCUCAGUCAGCAUUAUCAAUCACAUACAAACAAGCAAAACGAUAAUUUAUGCCAAACAGACAACAUACAACAUCAAUAUCCCUGUCAUUCAAUCCAUAAUCAAUAAAACAGUAGAAUAUGCACACGAAACUAUAAAAUGAAAACAUCGAACCUCAUGCUGCAUUUAAAACUGUAAAACAGGCCAAAUAAUAGUUAACCGACA